GCUCCCUCCCACAAGGGGUUAGGCCACCGGCUUCAGGUGUUACCGACUUUCAUGACUUGACGGGCGGUGUGUACAAGACCCGGGAACGUAUUCACCGCAGCGUUGCUGAUCUGCGAUUACUAGCGACUCCGACUUCAUGAGGUCGAGUUGCAGACCUCAAUCCGAACUGGGACCGGCUUUUUGGGAUUCGCUCCACCUCACGGUAUUGCAGCCCAUUGUACCGGCCAUUGUAGCAUGCGUGAAGCCCAAGACAUAAGGGGCAUGAUGAUUUGACGUCAUCCCCACCUUCCUCCGAGUUGACCCCGGCAGUAUCCCAUGAGUUCCCACCAUUACGUGCUGGCAACAUAGAACGAGGGUUGCGCUCGUUGCGGGACUUAACCCAACAUCUCACGACACGAGCUGACGACAACCAUGCACCACCUGUUUACGAGUGUCCAAAGAGUUGACCAUUUCUGGCCCGUUCUCGUAUAUGUCAAGCCUUGGUAAGGUUCUUCGCGUUGCAUCGAAUUAAUCCGCAUGCUCCGCCGCUUGUGCGGGUCCCCGUCAAUUCCUUUGAGUUUUAGCCUUGCGGCCGUACUCCCCAGGCGGGGAACUUAAUGCGUUAGCUGCGUCACGGAAUCCGUGGAAUGGACCCCACAACUAGUUCCCAACGUUUACGGGGUGGACUACCAGGGUAUCUAAGCCUGUUUGCUCCCCACCCUUUCGCUCCUCAGCGUCAGUUACGGCCCAGAGAUCUGCCUUCGCCAUCGGUGUUCCUCCUGAUAUCUGCGCAUUCCACCGCUACACCAGGAAUUCCAAUCUCCCCUACCGCACUCUAGUCUGCCCGUACCCACUGCAGGCUGGGGGUUGAGCCCCCAGAUUUCACAGCAGACGCGACAAACCGCCUACGAGCUCUUUACGCCCAAUAAUUCCGGAUAACGCUUGCACCCUACGUAUUACCGCGGCUGCUGGCACGUAGUUAGCCGGUGCUUUUUCUGCAGGUACCGUCACUCUCGCUUCUUCCCUGCUAAAAGAGGUUUACAACCCGAAGGCCGUCAUCCCUCACGCGGCGUUGCUGCAUCAGGCUUGCGCCCAUUGUGCAAUAUUCCCCACUGCUGCCUCCCGUAGGAGUCUGGGCCGUGUCUCAGUCCCAGUGUGGCCGGUCACCCUCUCAGGCCGGCUACCCGUCGACGCCUUGGUGAGCCAUUACCUCACCAACAAGCUGAUAGGCCGCGAGCCCAUCCCCAACCGAAAAAUCUUUCCAAACGUUGACCAUGCGAUCACGUCUCGUAUCCAGUAUUAGACGCCGUUUCCAGCGCUUAUCCCAGAGUCAGGGGCAGGUUGCUCACGUGUUACUCACCCGUUCGCCACUGAUCCACCCCGCAAGCGGGGCUUCACCGUUCGACUGCA
rnacentral:rRNA from 2 species